rnacentral:rRNA from 1 species
ACGUAGGGAGCGAGCGUUGUCCGGAAUUACUGGGUGUAAAGGGAGCGCAGGCGGGAUGGCAAGUCAGAUGUGAAAACUAUGGGCUCAACCCAUAGACUGCAUUUGAAACUGUUGUUCUUGAGUGAGGUAGAGGUAAGCGGAAUUCCUGGUGUAGCGGUGAAAUGCGUAGAGAUCAGGAGGAACAUCGGUGGCGAAGGCGGCUUACUGGGCCUUUACUGACGCUGAGGCUCGAAAGCGUGGGGAGCAAACAG